UCAUAAUAUUUUAUUCUUCUCGACAAAAUCAAUACUGCCUUGAAUUAUAACUCACAUAUUUGUAACCCUAAAACUGGUUCUUCUCAUGUUCUUAUUCAACAUAUAAUUCCAUCUACUAUACAAUCAAUUUCUAAUAUUUCAUAUUCUUAUCAUUUCCCCGACAAUGGCGCCAAAGUAUUGUUCUUGUUGUGUUCAAGCUUUAGUAUAUUAAAGUAAUUGAAUUAAUAGAGGUGGGUUUGAAUACAAGGAAAGAUUGGUUAUAUGUAUUGGGAUCUGUUAGUGUCACAAUUGACUGUACUCUGGCUAUCUGAAAUCAAUUAUCAAACUACAAAAUACCAAGGCUUACUACUUCCGUCUUGAUUCAAUACAUAAUCCAUUCUACGACUAUCAAUUCAACAAUACUUCUCUCAAUCACAAUUCUUCAUAAGCAAAUAAUAAAAACAAAGAAAACAAAGAAGUAGCACCAAGCUUACC
rnacentral:lncRNA from 1 species